UACAGAGGGUGCGAGCGUUAAUCGGAAUUACUGGGUGUAAAGCGCGCGUAGGCGGCUUUGCAAGUCGGGUGUGAAAUCCCCAGGCUUAACCUGGGAACUGCAUUCGAGACUGCAUUGCUAGAGUAUGGGAGAGGGAAGUGGAAUUUCCGGUGUAGCGGUGAAAUGCGUAGAUAUCGGAAGGAACAUCGGUGGCGAAGGCGGGUCUCUGGGCCGAUACUGACGCUGAGGAGCGAAAGCGUGGGGAGCGAACAGG
rnacentral:rRNA from 1 species